CAAUCCCACUGAGGAUACAUAAGUGGGGGGGGAGACUUUCCAAACAGCUUUCCCAGCUUGUCACACAAGAGGUAUAGACCAUCCAGUGGAACUUGGCUGAAAGCAGCACACUGCAUUCAAAAGAGCUCACAAUGGAUCCACUCCUGUCCUCCUCCUCUCACCCUCCCACAUAUGACAGCACCUCAUGUUUACCCCUUCCAUCACGCGCAUCCUGUUUGUGGCAUCAUCGUCUGCUGCUUUGUUUCUGAAAUCUACCUGAGCAUGUACAAAACACUCCUCCUGUCUUGGCUGUUUUCAAGAAGUGUCACGGGAUACCAUAAAAGGGAUCCGCACCCACGCGCUUUUGUCUGUUUUAUCAUACCUUAAGUGUGUGGAAAAAGAGGGAGGAUGGAAAAUAUGCUGAUAAAUGCAGCACGCAAAAAAAAAAAAAGAGACGGCACACAAAGAUAGAUAUUUUUGGACUUGGCUGGCAAAGCAGUUAAAUGUGCUUUUGGAAGUCCAAGUGGAAGAGGAUAAGAAACUUGGUACAUACUUGACUGCUAAAGAGAGGGGACCUUUUUGGAGCAGUACCCCAAGUGAUGUCACAUUGAAGGAAGUGCUUUGAAGGCGAUGAGGGCACAGCUACAUCCAGGCAUCACAAAGCAGUGUUUUAUUCCAGCACCAUCACAAGGACAUGACGCUAUCCCUGUAAGGAGUGGGCUUCACAAUGCACUGUAUAUGUUUGCUAUAAUGUGAGCAUCUUGAUGGGGGUCCUGCCAAAGUGGACUAUCAAAGUGAUGCGGAUGUGUUUGUGCAAUCAGAGAUGUUCUCAUGUGAGUCAUACUGAUGGGAGUCUGCUAACAUCUCCAUGAUAGAACAAGGCUGCAGCCUUUGUACACUAUAUAAGGCAAAGAACUAAUUAGCCUCAUUAGCCUUAUUUUGCUUUCAUUCUGAAGCUUGUUUUAUUAGCACAUACAAACAUUUAUUUUCA